GGCGAUUGAAGUUGUUUUCCUCAGGUACUUCCAACUCCAAAUUCCACAAUGAUAAGUUUUUCUUUUGUAGCUAUCUGGUGGAUUCUCUUUGACUUGAAUAAAACACGUGAGUGCUUUUCUAAAGCACUUCUACUUCAUGUCACUUGUUCCUUUCUGAGCACUUAUGGGACAGAACAAAUGCAUGAUACUUGGAAUAGAGAAAUCAAUAACAUGAUCUUUCAUAGUUGGUUUGCAAAGCUCUUUGAACAAAAUUGAUUCACACAGCACAUUUUCAAGCAAAUGAAACAUUUCAGAAAAAGAUUUAACCAAUACAUUCUCAGUUUUAGUUCUAAAUAUCUCAAUUUCAUUGCUACACAAAGAAUCUCUCAAAAAAGAAUUCAAUU
rnacentral:lncRNA from 1 species